UACGUAGGGGCCUAGCGUUGUCCGGAUUUAUUGGGCGUAAAGAGCUCGUAGGCGGCUUGGCAAGUCGGGUGUGAAACCUCCAGCUCAACCUGGAGACGCCACUCGAUACUGCCAUGGCUAGAGUCCGGUAGGGGACCACGGAAUUCCUGGUGUAGCGGUGAAAUGCGCAGAUAUCAGGAGGAACACCGGUGGCGAAGGCGGUGGUCUGGGCCGGCACUGACGCUGAGGAGCGAAAGCGUGGGUAGCAAACAGG
rnacentral:rRNA from 1 species